CGUCCGCGAGCCCGGCCUCCUCACAGGCUGCCGGGGUGCCCUCCUGUCACAGCGAGCGCCUGCCACUCAUUCACUCAUUGCUCCGAGACCGACCCCGACGACGGACGGCCAUGAUGAACGAACGCGCGGCUCGGCGGCGUGGUGUUCACACGCACAGCGGCUUACACGCGCACUUCCCGCCGAGGGUGAAACAGGUUAUAAGAUUCUACUAUGUAUGAAACCAUACUAUCUCAGCUAGUGAAAAAUGAGCGCGAGAAAUAAUGCAACAUAGCAACUUCACCUGGAGGCAAGGUAAAUUACCCAAAUACCCUAUACUUUAUGUUUGCCACAUGGUUUGCAGCUGAGAAGCCUUUACAUUUUCUAUAACACAAAAUUCAUUCCAGCCCCUUGCCCUAAAGAUGCUAUUAACCUCUACUGUCUGCAGUGGAGCUGUGACCUCUCAAAUAUAUAGACCUGUGUCUAAAUGUCCUGUGACCUCUCAAAUAUAUAGACCUACAGCCUUUAGGAUGUGUUGUCAGGAUACAAGUUUUUUAAGUAUUAUUAUGGAAAAUGAAAUAUAUACAAAAAUAGAGAUGCUAGUAUAAUAAACCUUCUCAAAUCCA